GUGAGACUAUUGCUCCUGGGCACAUCAUCAGGUAGGGACACUCUGAAUCUAACUAUCAUGCCUUUGAGGUCACCCAGCUCUCUGCCCUCCAUCACAACCAACUACAGAAAACAGAAAACACUUCCUUUACAUUCGUUGACAUGGGUAUUAGGAUAUGUAA